rnacentral:rRNA from 1 species
GACGAACGCUGGCGGCGUGCCUAAUACAUGCAAGUCGAACGAGAGCGACCGGUGCUUGCACUGGUCAAUCUAGUGGCGAACGGGUGAGUAACACGUGGGUAACCUGCCCAUCAGAGGGGGAUAACAUUCGGAAACGGAUGCUAAAACCGCAUAGGUCUUCGAACCGCAUGGUUUGAAGAGGAAAAGAGGCGCAAGCUUCUGCUGAUGGAUGGACCCGCGGUGCAUUAGCUAGUUGGUGAGGUAACGGCUCACCAAGGCCGUGAUGCAUAGCCGACCUGAGAGGGUGAUCGGCCACAUUGGGACUGAGACACGGCCCAAACUCCUACGGGAGGCAGCAGUAGGGAAUCUUCCGCAAUGGACGCAAGUCUGACGGAGCAACGCCGCGUGAGUGAAGAAGGUUUUCGGAUCGUAAAACUCUGUUGUUAGAGAAGAACAUGCUAGAGUAACUGUUAGCGCCUUAACGGUAUC